rnacentral:rRNA from 1 species
GCGGCGGACGGGUGAGUAACGCGUAGGAAUCUGCCUGAUAGUGGGGGAUAACUCGGGGAAACUCGAGCUAAUACCGCAUACGCCCCAUGGGGGAAAGCGGGGGACCGCAAGGCCUCGCGCUAUUGGAUGAGCCCGCGCCCGAUUAGCUUGUUGGUGGGGUAAAAGCCUACCAAGGCGACGAUCGGUAGCUGGUCUGAGAGGACGAUCAGUCACACUGGAACUGAGACACGGUCCAGACUCCUACGGGAGGCAGCAGUGGGGAAUAUUGGACAAUGGGCGAAAGCCUGAUCCAGCCAUGCCGCGUGUGUGAAGAAGGUCUUCGGAUUGUAAAGCACUUUAAGUUGGGAGGAAGGGCAUUAACCUAAUACGUUAGUGUUUUGACGUUACCGACAGAAUAAGCACCGGCUAACUUCGUGCCAGCAGCCGCGGUAAUACGAAGGGUGCAAGCGUUAAUCGGAAUUACUGGGCGUAAAGCGCGCGUAGGUGGUUUGUUAAGUUGAAUGUGAAAGCCCCGGGCUCAACCUGGGAACUGCAUCCAAAACUGGCAAGCUAGAGUAUGGCAGAGGGUGGUGGAAUUUCCUGUGUAGCGGUGAAAUGCGUAGAUAUAGGAAGGAACACCAGUGGCGAAGGCGACCACCUGGGCUAAUACUGACACUGAGGUGCGAAAGCGUGGGGAGCAAACAGGAUUAGAUACCCUGGUAGUCCACGCCGUAAACGAUGUCGACUAGCCGUUGGGGAUCCUUGAGAUCUUAGUGGCGCAGCUAACGCAUUUAAAGUCGACCGCCUGGGGAGUACGGCCGCAAGGUUAAAACUCAAAUUGAAUUGACGGGGGCCCGCACAAGCGGGUGGAGCAUGUGGGUUUUAAUUUCGA